UACGUAGGGCGCAAGCGUUGUCCGGAAUUAUUGGGCGUAAAGAGCUCGUAGGUGGUUUGUCGCGUCUGUUGUGAAAGCCCGGGGCUUAACUCCGGGUUUGCAGUGGAUACGGGCAGGCUAGAGGCAGGUAGGGGAGAACGGAAUUCCUGGUGUAGCGGUGAAAUGCGCAGAUAUCAGGAAGAACACCAAUGGCGAAGGCAGGUCUCUGGGCCAUAACUGACGCUGAGAAGCGAAAGCAUGGGGAGCGAGCAGG
rnacentral:rRNA from 1 species